UGAGUCGGUCGGAUGGUUGCUCUAGACUUGUUUGUUCAACUUUAGAGAGGAAAGUCCGGGCACCGCAGAACAAGAUGCUCCAUAAUAAGGAGAGUUAGACUUUUGUCUUUCAUGGAAAGUGCAGCAGAAAAUAUACCGCCUUCGGGUAAGGGUGAAAAAGUGGUGUAAGAGACCACUAGUUGUUGAAGAAAUUCAAACAACUUGUAAACCCCAUCUGGUGCAAGAUCGAAUAGGCUCUGAGAUGUUGUUCGCAUUGAUCAAAGAGCGGGUAGAUUGCUAAAUCGUUGUGGUAAUGCAAAGGUUAGAUGAAUGACCAUCUCUCAAAUAAGUUUACUUAUUUGAGGACAGAACUCGGCUUAUAGACCGACUCACAUA
rnacentral:RNase_P_RNA from 2 species